CAAAAAGGUCACAUACUGAAAAUGUGUUUCCACUGAUAUCUUGCACUGAGACAGCUACAGGUUUACCUCAAAUUAAGUAACUCGAAACUCUCCCCCUUCUAGCUUCCAAAUUUUGCAUACACAUAAAUAUCAAUGUCAUCUAUUUAUUUGUGAGCACUCUAAAGGAAGAACUUUCCCAUAAACUUCGCGAAAUUGUUCAAGCCAUAACCAGUCCCCUGGCUGCAAAGUGAAAAUGCAUUCACUGGGAUAUCGAGCGAACGCGUUGCUGACCUUUGCCGUCACCAUUCUGGCUCUUAUGUGCGGCAUGGCCUCUCUCUCCGACAACUUCAAUUCUCCCUCUCCCUCUGCCCAAGUCCAGGUCUUGAACAUCAACUGGUUUCAGAAGCAGCCCAACGCCAAUGACGAGAUCAGCAUGACAUUGAACAUAUCAGCAGAUUUGCAGUCCCUUUUUACAUGGAACACAAAACAGGUUAUUCCCUUUAAUUUUGAUUUUUCAUUUAAAGUGCUUUGUCUUUACUCCAUUUGCCUCUCAAAAGUAAGAAGGCUGUUCUUGGUUGGAGGAGCGAGAAUGAAAAUUUAUAAUGUUUUCAUGCCUUGUCAUAUUAUCAACUUUGCCCAUGUUUUGGUUGAAUUUAUUCUGGAAAGGUUACCCCUCUCAGUGAGAGUUUUUAGAGAAAGUGAAACAUUAUUUCUUCAACUUGAUCCUUACGAAAUGAGUGUUUGUUUUCUUUUCUAUGCUUCCCAGCAUAGUGCGUAUCUUAAUGUUUAAAUUGACUUGCCUAUUAUUAUAUCAUGUUUAAUUUCAUGAUAUAUAUCUAUUCUUGCCCAUUCUUUUUUCUGUGUACAAAAAUUGUAUUUCUGUGGAAACCUUGGUUCUGCUUUAUUUUUCUUACCCAUGAGAUUCUUAUAUCUGACUAGUUAUUAUUGCAAAUAUUUUGGAAGCUAUAAUUUCAGGUCUGUCCAUGGACAUAGUUUUUUUCAUUUUGUAUGGUUGCAGGUUUUUGUUUUUCUUGCUGCCGAGUAUGAAACUCCUAAGCAUUCCGUGAAUCAGAUAUCUCUAUGGGAUGGUAUUAUACCCUCUAAAGAGCACGCCAAGUUUUGGAUUCAUACAUCAAAUAAGUACCGCUUCAUUGACCAGGUAC